rnacentral:tRNA from 1 species
UUAACUUUUAAUAAAAUAUAUAAAUUAAUAUAAAAUA